rnacentral:rRNA from 1 species
AACGAACGCUGGCGGCAGGCUUAACACAUGCAAGUCGAGCGGGCCCGCAAGGGUCAGCGGCGGACGGGUUAGUAACGCGUGGGAACGUGCCUUUUGCUUCGGAAUAGCCCUGGGAAACUGGGGGUAAUACCGGAUGUGCCCUGAGGGGGAAAGAUUUAUCGGCAAGAGAUCGGCCCGCGUUGGAUUAGGUAGUUGGUGGGGUAACGGCCCACCAAGCCGACGAUCCAUAGCUGGUUUGAGAGGAUGAUCAGCAACACUGGGACUGAGACACGGCCCAGACUCCUACGGGGGGCAGCAGUGGGGAAUCUUAGACAAUGGGCGCAAGCCUGAUCUAGCCAUGCCGCGUGGGUGAUGAAGGCCUUAGGGUCGUAAAGCCCUUUCGCCGGGGAAGAUAAUGACGGUACCCGGUAAAGAAACCCCGGCUAACUCCGUGCCAGCCGCCGCAGUAA